UAUUUUGCACAAUAAUUUUGAAAAAAUCAAAUAAUUUGAAGAGUCAAACCAAGUUUAACUUCAUCAUCAGCCAUCUAUUUCCUCUCCAUCAUCAGAACUAAGUUUAACUUCAAAGUAGAACUCUAACUUUAAUUUUUGUCUUCUUUCUCCUCUUCAACAAAACAAGCACCAUGACUGCUCCACCACCAACAAAAAAUCUUUACUCAAAAUCAACUUUAAAAAAAAACCACAAAAUUGAUUUCGGAUAACAAGUUCAUUCAUUAUGUUGAAUGUUGAAUUGGGUCAUCUCCACACAUACCUCAAAUGGGUCAUCUUCAAUUUCAUUAAAAUAACAAAAUUAACAAUUACUUCUAUAAGAAAAAAAAAACUGAAAUCGCGAAAUGGGUAAACUCCAAUUCCAUAAAAAACAAUUCAAUUAACAAUUACUUCAACACAAACACGAAAUGAGUCAUCUUCCAUUCUAUCGAGUUGUUGUCAUCGGUGGUUCCGGGCUCCGGUAUACGGCACUCGACGGCGACGGCAGCCAUGGCUGGGAUUAGCGGCUGAAAAAGCGGGAGAUCGUUGAUGGUUUUUAAUUAAGAGAGGAGAAAAGGAAAAACGAAAUUAGAACAGAGGAAUGAAUAAAAAAGAAAAGGAAAUCUAUAAAGAAAAAUAAUUAAUUUUUUAGAUUAAAAAAAUAUGACGUGGCAUUACUGUUCAGUACGUGCAUCACACCACAUCCCAAAUAACUGGUUAUCCUAUUUUGGGGUGUAAUAAUUUCACUUUUAAAUAGUUCAGGAAGUCAUAAGACCCCGCAAAGAAUAGGUGUGUAGUUGAAAUUUAGGAUAAAGAUUGGAGGGGUAUUUGACCAUUUUAAAAAUAUUUGUUUAUAUAAUGGGAGAUAGAAUUGGAGGUGAAGAUGAGGUUUGUUAAAAAAUGAGAAUAAUACGAUUUAUGAAAUAUCACUCGUGAGACUUUUUUUUCUAAAAAAAUAUUUUAAAAAAUUUUCAAUCUACCGAACAUAAAAAAUAUUAAAUAAUAAUUUCUGAAAAAUAUUUUCCUCCGUCACAUCCCAAGUAUCAUAUAGUAAAUCAGUAAACCACAUGGAGGAGACAGAAACGAAACGAAAAGCCAUUGAAUUGACUUCGUUGUCAUUAUUUAAGAAAAAAGGAAAAAUUUAUCCAAUAAAUAAUCAUACAUAAAUGGUAAACCCUGCCUAAAUUAUCUAUUAACUUGUCCUAUUUUCUUAAUUCCCUUUUAAAUUUAUGUAUUUUUCUUCAAGCAAAUACUACUACUACAACAACACACAAACCUAAAAUUCAGUCGAGUUUGAGAAGCGUGAUGCGUAUACAGUUUUACAUUUAUAUUACAAGAAUAACGAGGUUGUUUUUAAGAUCGUUGACUCAAGUAAAGCAAACGAAACAAGAAGGAAAAAUACUUCAAGCAAAUAAUACUAACAAAAAAACAAUUAAUGGUCAAAAAUACGCAUAAAAUAUCUUAGUUUUUUAAAGUUUCAGCAAAAAAAUAAAAAGUUAAUAGUUAAAAUAUAUUUUCGAUAAAUAUUUGACGACAAUUUAGAUAGAAGAUUCAUUUACAUAAUAGCCCAGAAAUGAAACUCAAC
rnacentral:lncRNA from 1 species